CAAAAUAUCUGACUGAAAUGGUCACGUGACUCGCUCAACUCCCAUUUUCGAGUUUGGGACCCGCGUGGGAGAACCCGGUUUCGCGCAAACCCGUCGACUCCACCCACAGGAAGAGAAGAGAGAAGGAGGUCGGAAAGUCUGUCUCCACGCAUCGGGGUGUGCCUCGCUCCUUCUUUUCCACACGUUCGUGAUCGUCGUCCCUCCCUCCCGACUGGGGGUGUCGGCCGAGACGCGCAAAGCCAACGCCGUCGGUCCCGGGUCAGCGUGGAGACUGCACAGAGAGCCCCUGAGCAAAGGACGAUUCGAAAAUCAAUUUGAUGAGGAGCAAAUCCUCGAUAUUCCCUUGGAAACGCACCAUUUCUUCACCUUGUUCGGUUCUUCUGGCUGUUUUUACACAUUGUCGCGGGGAGGAACAAGAAUCCGGAAUUUGUGCAGACAGGCCGAGCGAGGCCAAGGAAAGCAAAGAUGAAGGAAAUGACGACGUUUUGCAUUGAAUCCAAACGAAAAGCAGCUAAAGAGGGCAGGGAAAAACAAGGGAUAGCAGUUCAAGACAAGAUCCUAAACUAUGGACUCUAUACACAAAAA